rnacentral:rRNA from 1 species
AAGACCUUGCGCUUUUGGAGCGGCCGAUGCCUGAUUAGCUUGUUGGUAAGGUAAAAGCUUACCAAGGCUUCGAUCAGUAGCUGGUCUGAGGGGACGGCCAGCCACACUGGGACUGAGACACGGCCCAGACUCCUACGGGAGGCAGCAGUGGGGAAUUUUGGACAAUGGGGGCAACCCUGAUCCAGCCAUGCCGCGUGAGUGAAGAAGGCCUUCGGGUUGUAAAGCUCUUUCAGCCGGAACGAAACGGUUACGGUUAAUACCCGUGAUUACUGACGGUACCGGAAGAAGAAGCACCGGCUAACUACGUGCCAGCAGCCGCGGUAAUACGUAGGGUGCGAGCGUUAAUCGGAAUUACUGGGCGUAAAGGGUGCGCAGGCGGUUUUGUAAGUCAGAUGUGAUAUCCCCGGGCUCAACCUGGGAACU